UCUGACUGUAUUAUGUCCCUGCCCAACACCUUUCUGGACUCCUCAUCACUGUCAGGACACAAUCCAUGACUCUGGGCUCAGUCCCCAAGCCCUCAUGAAGCCACGUCUCUGUCCCAGCCACAUCACCCACCUAAGAGACCCUGAACACAACUGCGUGUCCUCAGCCUGCUCCUUUGUGAUGCUCCCCCUGUUCCUUCUGUGAUCUCAUGACAGCCUCUACACACAUCCACGGUGGUAGUUAGUUACCAUGUUGUCCUGUGGUCCCUUGCCUGGCCGUGCCCUCGCACUCUUGGCCACUUAGGAAGAACCAGCUGUCCCCACCAGUGGAAAGACUGGAAAGAGCUUAAACUAGUUCAGCUUACAGUGAACUUACAUUUGGAUGUUGGCUCUGCCACCUGCUCACUGGGUGCCUUUGGGUCAGUUACUUAACUUCUCUCAACUUGUCUCCUCAUUUGCCAUUUGGGGAUUACUUUAUCUACUGAGGAGAACUGUUAAGGGGGUUAACUGAAUGUUACGGACCCAGUAAAAUUAGUGACUAACAGCUUAGAGAGACUGCUUCACUCACAGCAUUGCAGCUACCUGGAGCCAUGUACAGGAUUGAUGCUCAACCGCCAAACACAAGCUUGGAAUUAGGCAGCCUCCCUGUCUCAGAGCUGCAGAGAAAAGGAGACUGGGACAGAAGAGAUGCAGCCAUGGAGGCAGAGUCUCAGAGCACAGGGAGCAAGCCAAGGCCAAGGCCAGAGAGAUGCUGCCUGGGAAAGAAAGGGGAACGUGGAGGCUUUGGUUUCCACUGAAAUUAUUGGUCUCCGUGGGAGAAAACAGCAGCUUACACCUCACACAGCAAAGGUUGUUAGCUGGAAGAAAGGGGAAAUCGAAAUCAUUAAAAAGCAAGAGAAUUAGAAUUUAAAAUGAACCUGAUUUGAAUAUU